UUUUUGACUGGCGCCACCCCAUAGUGAUUCAAGAAUACCAUGCUGCAUUUGGGGAAACUUAACCGAUAUUCUCCAUUCUGCCUGCAACCAAGACGAUGGAAUGGUUACAUUGCUUUUGAGGUUUGCUAAACUUGGAAAGUUUAGAGGAGAACUACAAAUCUCUAAUUCCUUUGAUGCCUCUCGAAUGAUCAUUAACCCGGCAAUACCAGAGGCUGAAGCAUUUAAAGAUAUCGACAAUGGGGAUGACACAACUCUAAUUACAUUUGAAAGUAAUGAGGAGAGUCAAGAGGACAACAACAAGCAAGUAAAUCAUCCAGGCAAGCGAGUACAGCGUGAUAAGUGGUUGAUAUUCCCCACUAAGACCAUCCAAGAAAUGGUAGCGUCAACUCAAGUAAGCAUUUUAAGUCCUUUAUCUUACAUUGUGUAUCUCGUGUGGGUGGUUAACUAUUUUUUUUUUAAUUGUUUAGGUUGAUAAAUGUUUAGUCACUUGCAUAGUCUAUGCAAUUGAUAUGGAUUGGUCCUGGUAUUACUUUGGUUGUGAUGCAUGCCAAAAAAGGGUGAUCAAAACCGGAACCAACAUUAAGAUAGUAAAAGGAACUGAAAUAACCACUCAUAUUUGGUGGUGUGAGACAUGCAACGACACUGUGUUCAAAGUUUCACCAAGGUAUGAUUGUGCAAAUUUAAGAAAAAACAUGCAUACGUAACAACUUAGAGUGAUGUUUAGCAGUUAAAACUG